GGUGAGAAUACCGUCCAUGACACGGACUUCGCCGUGCUCUGUGAUACACUUCAAAGAGUCGAGNAGAUUCAUAAUGCAGCUCAUAAUAAGUAGUAAAUUCCAUCUACAGCUAUAUACAGCGCGAGUGCCGAUAGCGAACCAGUUCCGUGAUGGAAAGAUGAAAAGUUCUUUGGAAAGAGAGUUAAACAGUACGUGAAAUUGUUGAAAGGGAAACGCUUGGAGUCAGUCGCGUCUGCUGGGGCUCAGCCUUGCUUCUGCUUGGUUUCCUUCUCAGUAGAUGGGCCAGCAUCAAUUUUGGGUGCCGGAAAAUGGCGGGAGGAAUGUGUCAGCUUGCUGUGUUAUAGCCUCCCGUCGUACACGGUGUCUGGGAUUGAGGACUGCAGCACGCCUUCGGUAGGGCUUAGGCCACUCCACGUGCUUAGGAUGCUGGCGUAAUGGCUUUAAACGACCCG
rnacentral:rRNA from 1 species